rnacentral:tRNA from 1 species
GCGCCAGUAGCUCAGUUGGAUAGAGCAACUGCCUUCUAAGCAGUAGGCAGGGGGUUCGAAUCCCUCCUGGCGUACCA